CGGCGCCGUCCUCGACCGGGAG
rnacentral:miRNA from 1 species